UGUGCAUUAUAUUUAAGUUCAACCAUGGAGCCUUCUAGAUUGUACAUGUGGAAGAAUCUGGUGGAAUGUAGAUGAUAUCCAACAGCCAGUAGUGCUCGGAUUUGCCAUCUCUGCACCGUCGGAUUGGUUUCAUUCAACGACCAUCUUUCAAAGUUAUUCGCACACUAUAUAGGGGUAUAGAUAUAGAAAAUGAGAUGACAUGUAUCCCAAAUCCUAUGAGUAGGAUUAGGAAGAGAGAUGUCAUUUGGUCCACAUCAUAGGAAUUUUUUCAUUCAGUCUAGGCUCAUGUUUAUUUUCUUUUGAAAUGUGAAGGAUAGGAAUCAAUCCUAUAUAGGAAUAGGAGGAAUUCAUUCCUAUGAACCAAAGGGCUCUAAAGGAAAAAUUCCUACAAGAAUCCUAUCCUAUAGAAUUCCUAUGAAAUUCCUCCAAACCAGAGGAGGCCUUAAUUUAUACCUGCAGUCUAGAGGCAUCCAAUGAAUGUAUUACAGUUGGCUACCGCUAUUCUUUCCACUUUCUUCUUUGAGCUUUAGUAACUUGGUGAUAGAAUAGCACAUUUAUUCUGGAGCUACAAUGAUGAUCAGGUGCUACAACUUUAUCUGCACAACAGUCUGCUUUCUUACAUUGCUUGUUAAUUUUUAUGCAUUAAGACGUUGUGCCCAUGUCGCCCUCUGGUUACACUGUUAUGAUUGAGCAAGGAUUACACAGACCUCUAAAUUCAUGUCAGUCCAGCUGUACUUGAGGUAAUUGCAUGGGUAUGCUUUGUACUUCCUCUGUUCCUAAAUAUAGGUCUUUGUAGAGAUUUCACUAUGGUCUAUGUACGAAGCAAAAUGAGUGAAUCUACACUCUAAAAUGCAUCUACAUACAUCCGUAUGUGGUCUGUAGUGAAAUCUCUACAAAGACUUAUAUUUAGGAACGGAGGGAGUACUAGUUACCGCUUUAGCUCUGUUGUUUGCAUGCCAUUUUUGUCUUGUUGCUUGAACCGUGGAAGGUUGAUCUCACAGCGGGCCUAGAUGGGGAGGAUCAAGGAGACCAAGAGCAAUGUACAUUUAGCAUCAAAUUCAGAAAUGCAGUAUGUUGUGGGAACAGAUGUUAUAUUGUGUUCCAUUCUCUUGGUAUUGUCAGAAGGUUACAGUGUUCAAGAAGAAUGGUGGAAUGCUGGCUCUAAUUCAAUGUUCAGUGGUCACAAAGGCGUGAGAACAAGAAAAGCAGCAUUAGUAAAUUGAUUCACUGCCAAGAAGUCUUAUUCACAGGAGCUAUUUGUUGUCACCAUGUCUUGUUCAGUGGAGCAAUUGUGAUUGUUGAUGUUCAGUUCUUCUGGAUCCAAUCCAUGCUGAUUGUGCUGUCCCGCAGGUAUUAAGGCCGGAGCGGAGCAGGAGCAGGAGCAGUGGAGCGGAUGGACACCGAACGGGGCCUAAGUAUGUAAAAGAAGAACGUGCCAUCAGCAAAAGUGUUCUCAAGAGAAUGCAGCUCAUCCAGAAAAAGACUUAGCAAUGUGCAAUAGUCAUCUCCAUGUAACUUCAAAAUGAUGAAUAAAUUCGAUACUGCCAUUAGCUUGCAGCAGCAACGGCGCUGGUUGUAACGGCGGCAAUUUUCUCCCUGUAAUUUCAAAUACAG